AGCUGAGACCCAAUUGGUGUAGUAGGGGUGGUACUUCCGGCUAGGAAACCUUACCGCUGUAGUGUGGAUUGAAGAGUGUUGGUUGCUAGCAGUACGAAAUAUGCCGGUUACUUUUAAACCGGGGGACUUGGUGUUCGCCAAGAUGAAAGGAUAUCCACACUGGCCGGCACGGAUUGAUGAUAUCAGAGAUGGAGCAGUGAAACCUCCUCCAAACAAGUAUGCUAUAUUUUUUUAUGGGACCCAUGAGACAGCUUUUCUGGGUGCAAAGGAUCUUUUUCCAUAUGAAAAGUGCAAGGAUAAAUAUGGCAAACCAAACAAAAGGAAAGGAUUCAAUGAAGGACUUUGGGAAAUUCAGACCAAUCCACAGGCCAGUUACAGAUUCCCUCCUCCAUCAGUUAACUCAUCUGACAGUGAUGCAUCACAUGAGAAAGAGAAUGACGAGAAUAACAUCACUGCCCUUCCUGUUGUAGCUGAAACAUCAAGUGAAGAUGAGUGUAGUGAAAAAGAAGAUAUUAAGUCUGCAAUUCUUCCCAAACCUACAUCCAGUGAUAUAGAGGCAGAAAGUGCCUCUUCAGCUGAGGAGGAAAAAUCUGACAGCGAUAAGGAUUUUGCCAUAGAAGAAAGAGAGCCUCAGACGAUUUUGAGGGCAGCAACCACAAAGCAAAACACCAAGGUUUUGAAUAAUUCUGAAUCUGAUUCAAAAUCUAUCUCUUACGAUGAAGAGGCUGAUCCUAAGCAACAAUCUUCCUCAUCUUCCUCAUCUUCCUCAUCUUCUUCCUCAGAAAAGACUGCUAAGAAAGCACAAAAAACCUCCAGAUCAUUGCGAAAAUCUGGUCCAAAACCUCAAGGACCGUUAUCCAAAGCAAACCAGUCAACAACUUCAAGCAGUGACAGUGAUAGUUCACCAGAUCGCAUAAGUGAGUGGAAGAAGAGAGAUGAAGAAAGGCAACGAGAUCUUGAGGAACGUCGUCGAAGGGAGCAAGAGGAGCAGUUGCGUCGGUUAAGGGAAGAGGAAAAGGAAGAAGAGAGUAAAAAAAAAAAAGCUGACAAGGGAAACUGUGCAGACAGUGAUAGUGACAGUAUCCAUAGUGAAAAACAGCCAUCUAAAUCAGUAAAGCGGGCUCUUUCAUCAUCGGAUUCUGAAAAAGAAACUAACAAAAAGGCAACAUUUUCUUCUGCAAAUGCGAAGAAGGAAAGGGGGAGCUCUCGGUCAUAUUCUGACAGUAAUAAAAAGGUAAAGAAGACCAUUAAAAACACACAAGCUUCAGAACCAGGAAAAAAGCCAAAUCGGAAGAAGGAAGAUCGACCAAGGGGGAGGCCUCCUAGGACAGAGAAGGUUAAGAAGCCUGGUGUGACAAGUGGCCCAAAAGCAGUGCUAAAGGAGCCCACUGUGGAGGAACAACUCCAGAAGCUUCACAGCGAAAUCAAGUUUGCACUGAAGGUGGACAGUCCUGAUGUUAACAGAUGUUUGGGUGCUCUGGAGAAGCUUGGUAGCCUUCAGGUGACUUCCAAUAUUCUGCAAAAGAAUACUGAUCUUGUGACAACACUUAAGAAGAUAAGAAGAUACAAGGCAAAUCAGGCUGUUAUGGACAAAGCUUCUAAAGUGUAUACUCAAAUUAAGGCUCAGAUUCUUGGUCCUAAACUGGAAAGAUGGCAGAAAGAAAAUGAAGGAGCUUGUAAUGUGGGGAAGAAUCAAAAUACAGAAAAACCAAGUAAAGAACAAGACAAAGCUUCUUCUCUCAAUGGAGACUCUGUUUCACAAAACACCCUUGGUGCAAAUAGGGAAGGAGAGGAGGAACAGAUUUCCACUGCCAUCCAGAAUUCUUGUGACGAUCAACACAGCUGAAAGAAGAAAUCUAGAAAAAACAAUUACUUUGGAAGAAGUGCAAACAAUAAUGAAAACAAUAAAACAAGUGAGGUACCACCAAAAGAGCCAACGGAAACCAUCACCAUCUCGGCAAACCGCAACGCCUAAUACUGUGACUGUUAAUGCCACG